UACGUAGGAUGCAAGCGUUAAUCGGAAUUACUGGGCGUAAAGCGUGCGCAGGCGGUUGUGCAAGACAGAUGUGAAAUCCCCGGGCUCAACCUGGGAACUGCAUUUGUGACUGCACGGCUGGAGUGCGGCAGAGGGGGAUGGAAUUCCGCGUGUAGCAGUGAAAUGCGUAGAUAUGCGGAGGAACACCGAUGGCGAAGGCAAUCCCCUGGGCCUGCACUGACGCUCAUGCACGAAAGCGUGGGGAGCAAACAGG
rnacentral:rRNA from 1 species